GAUGAACGCUGGCGGCGUGCCUAAUACAUGCAAGUCGAGCGAACGGACGAGAAGCUUGCUUUUCUGAUGUUAGCGGCGGACGGGUGAGUAACACGUGGAUAACCUACCUAUAAGACUGGGAUAACUUCGGGAAACCGGAGCUAAUACCGGAUAAUAUUUUGAACCGCAUGGUUCAAAAGUGAAAGACGGUCUUGCUGUCACUUAUAGAUGGAUCCGCGCUGCAUUAGCUAGUUGGUAAGGUAACGGCUUACCAAGGCAACGAUGCAUAGCCGACCUGAGAGGGUGAUCGGCCAAACUGGAACUGAGACACGGUCCAGACUCCUACGGGAGGCAGCAGUAGGGAAUCUUCCGCAAUGGGCGAAAGCCUGACGGAGCAACGCCGCGUGAGUGAUGAAGGUCUUCGGAUCGUAAAACUCUGUUAUUAGGGAAGAACAUAUGUGUAAGUAACUGUGCACAUCUUGAAGGUACCUAAUCAGAAAGCCACGGCUAACUACGUG
rnacentral:rRNA from 1 species